CCUACGGGAGGCAGCAGUGAGGAAUAUUGGUCAAUGGUCGGGAGCCUGAACCAGCCAAGCCGCGUGAGGGAUGAAGGUACAGAGUAUCGUAAACCUCUUUUGUCGGGGAGCAAAAGACGCCACGCGUGGCGUUACGAGCGUACCCGAAGAAAAAGCAUCGGCUAACUCCGUGCCAGCAGCCGCGGUAAUACGGGGGAUGCGAGCGUUAUCCGGAUUUAUUGGGUUUAAAGGGUGCGCGGGCGAAAGAUCAAGUCAGCGGUAAAAUUGAGAGGCUCAACCUCUUCGAGCCGUUGAAACUGGUUUUCUUGAGUGAGCGAGAGGUAUGCGGAAUGCGUGGUGUAGCGGUGAAAUGCAUAGAUAUCACGCAGAACUCCGAUUGUGAAGGCAGCAUACCGGCGCUCAACUGACGCUCAUGCACGAAAGUGUGGGUAUCGAACAGGAUUAGAUACCCGUGUAGUC
rnacentral:rRNA from 1 species